rnacentral:rRNA from 1 species
AGUGAACGCUGGCGGUAGGCCUAACACAUGCAAGUCGAACGGCAGCACAGUAAGAGCUUGCUCUUACGGGUGGCGAGUGGCGGACGGGUGAGGAAUACAUCGGAAUCUACUUUUUCGUGGGGGAUAACGUAGGGAAACUUACGCUAAUACCGCAUACGACCUACGGGUGAAAGCAGGGGAUCUUCGGACCUUGCGCGAUUGAAUGAGCCGAUGUCGGAUUAGCUAGUUGGCGGGGUAAAGGCCCACCAAGGCGACGAUCCGUAGCUGGUCUGAGAGGAUGAUCAGCCACACUGGAACUGAGACACGGUCCAGACUCCUGCGGGGGGCAGCAGUGGGGAAUAUUGGACGAUGGGCGCAAGCCUGAUCCUGCCAUACCGCGUGGGUGAAGAAGGCCUUCGGGUUGUAAAGCCCUUUUGUUGGGAAAGAAAAGCAGCAGGUUAAUACCCCGCUGUCCUGACGGUACCCAAAGAAUAAGCACCGGCUAACUUCGUG